rnacentral:rRNA from 1 species
UCAUGGUAGGUGGUUUCUGCCCAGUGAAGGUUUUAAACGGCCGCGGUACUCUGACCGUGCAAAGGUAGCAUAAUCAUUUGCCUUUUAAUUGGGGGCUUGUAUGAAGGAAAGUUUGAGUGUCUGACUGUCUCUUUGUGAUACCUAGAAUUUUCUGUUGUUGUGAGGAAGCAACAAUUCUAAAAAAAGACAAGAAGACCCUGUCGAGGUUUACUUUGGAUAGGGCGAUACGCGGAGAGUAUAAAUAAAUAAGUGUGUGGUUCUUAAGAGUUUCGUUGGGGUGACGAAAAAAGAUAGGAAUCUUUUUUAUUGUUUUUACUGAUAUGUUGAAUAACGAUCGGUUUUUAGCCAUUGAUAGAAAAACUUACCGCAGGGAUAACAGCGUAAUUCUUUUUGAGAGUUCGUAUCGAAAAAAGAGAUUGCGACCUCGAUGUUGACUUAUUAUUUCCUUUAGGUGUAGUAGCUAAAAGGGU